CGCGUAGGCGGCUUUGCAAGUCAGAGGUGAAAUGUCUCGGCUCAACCGAGGACCUGCCCUUGAAACUGCAGAGCUUGAGGCCGUGAGAGGAGACUGGAAUUCCUAGUGUAGCGGUGAAAUGCAUAGAUAUUAGGAAGAACACCAGUGGCGAAGGCGAGUCUCUGGCACGGUUCUGACGCUGAGGCGCGAAAGCCAGGGGAGCGAACG
rnacentral:rRNA from 1 species